UGGGGAAUUUUGGACAAUGGGCGCAAGCCUGAUCCAGCCAUGCCGCGUGUCUGAAGAAGGCCUUCGGGUUGUAAAGGACUUUUGUUAGGGAAGAAAAAGGAGCGGUUAAUACCCGUUUCUGCUGACGGUACCUAAAGAAUAAGCACCGGCUAACUACGUGCCAGCAGCCGCGGUAAUACGUAGGGUGCGAGCGUUAAUCGGAAUUACUGGGCGUAAAGCGAGCGCAGACGGUUACUUAAGCAGGAUGUGAAAUCCCCGGGCUUAACCUGGGAACUGCGUUCUGAACUGGGUGGCUAGAGUAUGUCAGAGGGGGGUAGAAUUCCACGUGUAGCAGUGAAAUGCGUAGAGAUGUGGAGGAAUACCGAUGGCGAAGGCAGCCCCCUGGGAUAAUACUGACGUUCAUGCUCGAAAGCGUGGGUAGCAAACAGGAUUAGAUACCCUGGUAGUCCACGCCCUAAACGAUGUCGAUUAGCUGUUGGGCAGCUUGACUGCUUAGUAGCGUAGCUAACGCGUGAAAUCGACCGCCUGGGGAGUACGGUCGCAAGAUUA
rnacentral:rRNA from 1 species